ACAAAAAUUUCCAUGUUACAAAAAAGAAUUGAAAUCCAAAGAGAGAAGUAGAAAUGGAGUUUGAGCAAGGACUAGAGCCAGUAAGCCCUAUUGCACAAUAUUGCAAUAGCUCAGCCAUCACAUUAUCAAUAAUUGGCGUUUGCGAGUUUGCCGUUCCAAUUGACGAAGCGCAAAUAAGGCUAUUUGUCAGGGAUUAUUUUAUUUCCAUAAGCCCACGCUUCUCCUCUAUCAUGGGAUUAUUUUCUUUCAUAAGGCCAUGCCUCUCAUCUAUCAUGGUAGGGAAUGAAAACGAAAAGAAACGAUGGAACAAGACCGUGGUAAAACUUGAAGAUCACAUUUACAUUCCAGACUUUCAGUCCAACCUUUCUCUUGAAUCAUGCGAUAGGUGUCUCGAUGAUUACAUUUCGGAAAUAUCAGUGAAAGGAUUUCCACAAGAUAAGCCGCUAUGGGAAAUUCAUAUAAUCAAGUAUCCAACUACAACUGCUGCUAGCAGUCUUGUAUUCAGGCUUCAUCAUGCACUUGGCGACGGCUAUUCUAUCAUGAGUGCUGUUCUUUCUAUUCUACCCCGAGCUGAUAAUCCUUCACUUCCUUUUACAUUUCCUUCACGUCAACGAUCAAGGUUGGACAAUCAAAAGAAAACUAUGUUUUAUCAUGUACCUCAAGUUUUCUUUUCAGUUUUCCAGACUGCUUCGGAUUUUGGUUGGAACAUCUUAAAGAGUAGUCUAAUCGAAGAUGAUCGAACACCAAUAAGGUCCGGGAACAAUGGAGUUGAGUUUGAUCCAACUACCAUGACUUCCAUCUUCUUCUCUAUUGAUCAAAUUAAGUUGAUAAAGAACAAGCUCGGAGCGACCAUAAAUGAUGUGGUAUGCGGAAUAAUAUUCUUGGGACUCGAUUAUACAUGCAUGAGAUUAUCCAAAACUCAGAUAACUCGCAAUCAACAGCAUUGGUGUUGCUGAAUACAAGGAGGCCUGGAGAAGAGUAUAAACCACUGAAGGAGAUGAACAAUGGUAAUGCGAAAACAAACAAGGCAUGGGGAAAUAGAUUUGCCUUCUUGCAUGUGGAAAUACCCAAAUUAUCCCGAGUUUCAAAUCCCCUAGAUUUCAUUUUCCAUUCGAAAAAAGAAAUCAACAGGAAGAGAAGCCCUCUUGCUGUUUUCCUCAAUACUAAGCUGUGGGGUGUUGUGGACAAACUUAAAGGUCCUGAGGCAGCAGCCCGUUUCGUGCACAGUACUGUGAGGAACGCAAGCAUGACAAUUUCAAACAUGAUUGGCCCAUUGGAUCAACUGGCUUUGGGUGAUUACCCACUUAGUGGCAUAUACUUUGCUUCAGCUGGCUUACCUGAGGACCUUGGCAUAACAGUUAUAAGCUACAUGGAGAAGAUAAGGGUUGUCCUUAAAAUGAGAAAAGAGCAUAUGGAUCCAAAGAAACUCAAGUCUUGCGUGGAAAAUGCCUUCGAGAUCGUAUUCAAAGCCUCUGCAAAUAUUUCUACUGCGAAAAUGUGAAUUUACCAAGUAGCAUUUUGACCAAAAUAAAUUCUCUGCAAUUCCCUCGAAUCUGUCAUAUAAUAAUCUGUUAGUUUUAAGUGUCAUUGCAGUUUGUUAAUUUUUCAUUGCCAGCAUCUUCGAGUAUCGAUCGACUAUGACGACAAGCAUAUAAUAUGUAGUUUUAUUAUCCUGAACUCCACACGUUUAAUAAUAAAAGAUUGCUAUAUAAAGAUAGA